rnacentral:ncRNA from 1 species
ACAAAAGCUAAGAAGAGAAAGAGUACCUUGGCCAAUCUUUCACAGAGAGCUCCAGCCGCUGAAAAGGAGCAAAGAAAAUCCAAGGGAAUAUGGUCUCUGAGCUGCGCAUCGAACCCCUCCAGGAGGGUUGUAGGCUGCGCCGGAACCCGCAUCCGUUAUCGUGCUAGGGUAUACCCGCGAACAGCGGACGUACCUGAAGAGGUGAAUGCCGCAAGGCAUUGAUGAAGUUGGGUGGUAACACGUGAGCACAGGCUCUCGUCCCUUUU